UGUGAGGCUAUGCAGAACCUUCCAGAACAGCCACACCCUCCUUGCUGCCUGUCAUGAUCUCAUUAUUCUCCAGUGACCCAUUCGCCAUCCCAGUAACGGCAGAAGCCAAAAUCGCAUGAACACCAGGCAAUUUGCAGACCACAGCUUUGCCGUCUUUAUCAUCCAUCUCUCUUGGGGCAAAGCUGAGCUGGACUCCGAGGUUGGAAGGCGCUCAGUGAGGAGGAGAGAGUGGGAAGAAGACAGGCUGGCCUCGCAGGAGGGAAGAGGAAACUGAGACACAGAGAAAUGAGGACGUGGCUCAGACCAUUGCUCUCUCAUGGGACCUGGAGUAGGAUACCUGGGAAGGCUUGAUUUCUGUUACCUGCCCCGGGUACAGGUUUAUCUCAUCUCUCUGAGGUCUCUUCAUUAAGAUCAGCCUGCGGGAAGCCACCAGCACAGCUCCUCCAUGGCCUGCAGCCCCUUCUGCCCCAGGACGCCUGUCCCGGACAAGCUCCACCUGCAGCUGUGAGCAGGUCAAAUCCUCGAACUCCAGGUGCAUGAUUGCCUGCUCCACACCCAGGCUGUGCUGCUCACAGCACAGCUUUCAAAGCUGGAGAGGCCUCCGUGAAACACGCUCCGUGAUCCAGUUCCUCCCAAAGCCGAGGGGGCUGCAGGAGGGAGCGCACGGAGGCGUCGUCUGCCUUCCUCUCCUGAGCUCUUUAAUCAGCGGCAUCUGGCGGGGUACGCUGGCCACAACACCUUGCACUCAGGGAGGGGCUGGUUGGUCUGCGUGUCCUGCAACAUGCACUGCCUGUUCCCUGGUUUACAGCAAUUCCAGGUUUGAAUUCUGCUGUCGGUGCCCCAGCAAGUGGUAGUGUUUACUGUCCAACGCUCGGAGCAAGCGUGUCCUCUCUGCCCUGUCCCCACCUGCAGGCCCUUGGUUACCAGGUAGGACACUUCCACUUCUGGCCAUGGCAGAGUGACCGGUACUAGACGUGCCCUCCUGCCACAAACAGCUAUAAAAUUGGACAGAUACAGGGACAACUGUUU
rnacentral:lncRNA from 1 species